UUAUUAUUUCAUACGGAUAUUUCGUGCUUCGUAGGCGAUUCUUUACGACCGUUAUUAUUAUUAUCAUUGGCACUAUCGUCGUUAGAAGAACAACACGUCCGUUUAAUUCGGUAACUCUUACGGAUGUUAAGUAACUUGUAAUUAGUAGCUCGUAAAAUUUCAUCGAUAACGUCGAUUCAAAUGGUGCAAGGAGACUUAUCAGGUAAUAAAAUAAUUGCCUAUAAUGUGAUCUAGCAACAUCGGCCGAUUCAAGCGCUUUUCUUACGCUUUUUAUAUUUUUACGGAGCUCUGAUAGACGCGAAAUGGAAAAUAUUUAAUUUACGAAGAGAAGCUUUAAUAACGUAGCUGGCGUUUCUCUUCUCCGAUACGAAUUAAUCGCAACAUUUGCAGCGAUGUGUAACCGACUGUAAUUGAUUAAAACUUCGUUAUAAAGUAUCGAAUAUCUCGGCGUACGUUUCAAUUAUUUGCGGAGUUUCAUUGAAACCGAUAUGUGCGCAUACAACGUUUGAUGUUCUUUGUGCAAGGUUCCUCGUCUCUUGCAUUGAUUAAAAUCUUUGUUAAAGAGGCUCUGGAAACAUAGAGAAUUCGCUGGAUCGAGAUAAAUUUAAAAAAUUGGAAGAAUACAGCGCAUCGAUGACGCCGAUGGAUAUGUGUACACCAUGCGACCUCUGACAUCUCUUGGCGCGUUACGCAAUCUAAAGUACCGGGUAUAGUAACCUGUAGGUACUUUGUCUCGAGCGAAACCUUUUUUAAUCCGAUGCAAGGAUACUAUUGAAAUUUGUCGCGAGGAAAGAUUACAUUGACAAAUAUAUUCACGACCAGUUUAAUAACUGUUUCUACGAAAUUAAGAUAUAAUUUCCUCGGAUGAAAUAUUUAUUCGUGUACAUCUUGAGAGUAAUUUGAUAUUUCGCCAAGAGCGAGAGUAUUGUAAUAUUAUAUUUUUGGAAUGACGAAUCUACUGUCGUAGGAAACUAAAAUAAAACUAUACUAAGGAAAUUCCGAUGGAAUUGAAAUUUAAGAAAAGAUAGAAUAUUUUUCUAAAGAUUGCGUAAUCUUAAAGAAUAUUAUAUUAGGACGUAAGAAAGAGUGACGUGACGUUAACCCUCGUCCGAUAGCGUCAAACGCUUGGUAAAUAACUGAUAAAAUGACGCCAAUUGAUAAAAAAUAAAGCCGUACAAAUACGUUUAUUCAGGCAGGAAAA